rnacentral:rRNA from 1 species
UACGCUGGCGGCACGCCUAACACAUGCAAGUCGAACGAAGUAGCAAUACUUAGUGGCAGACGGGUGAGUAACAUGUGGGUAUCUACCCUUUGGCCUGGAAUAACACGAGGAAACUUGUGCUAAUACCGGAUAAGUCUUUACGGAGAAAGCUUUAUGCACCAUUGGAUGAGCCCGCACUUGAUUAGUUUGUUGGUAGGGUAAUGGCCUACCAAGACUAUGAUCAAUAGCUGAUUUGAGAGGAUGAUCAGCCACAUUGGGACUGAGACACGGCCCAAACUCCUACGGGAGGCAGCAGUGGGGAAUCUUGCACAAUGGAGGAAACUCUGAUGCAGCGAUGCCGCGUGAGUGAAGAAGGCCUUUGGGUUGUAAAGCUCUUUCGUCGGGGAAGAAAAUGACUGUACCCGAA